GAUACCUUUAUUAAGUUUAGUAAUACCUUUUCUCAAUUCAGAACUCACAUACUAAGUAUGUAAUGACAAGUAUUGCCCUGCCAUGUUCCAUCUACUAUAGUUUUACUUUCUCUAACCAUUUUUAUUAUAUAUUCUUUCAGCAUUUCUUUAUAAAAAUAAAAGCAGAUGUUAAUUUUUUUUUUACUUUUUUGUUUUCUUACAUACAACAGUAUAUAGAAAAUACUUUGUACUUUGCUUUUUUUCACUUUAUAUGUUUUAGUUACCUUUCUGUGGCAGUAUGUAGAGAGCAUUCUCAUUCCUUUUCACAGUUGCAUUGUAUUCCAUUGUGCGGAUAUGCCGAAAUAUAUUUAACUUGAUGGUUACUGAACAUCGGAGUUUUCACUUGUUGCUAACCAUCCUUCAGUGAAAAAUAUAUUUUUUAAAGAUUUUAUUUAUUUAUUUGACAGGGAGAGAGAUCGCAAGUAGGUGGAGAG